rnacentral:rRNA from 1 species
UACGGGGGGAGCAAGCGUUGUCCGGAUUUACUGGGCGUAAAGAGCGCGCAGGCGGUCGUUCAAGUCGCGUGUGAAAGCCCCCGGCUCAACUGGGGAGGGUCACGCGAUACUGAUCGACUGGAAGGCAGGAGAGGGUAGUGGAAUUCCCGGUGUAGUGGUGAAAUGCGUAGAUAUCGGGAGGAACACCAGUGGCGAAGGCGACUACCUGGCCUGUUCUUGACGCUGAGGCGCGAAAGCUAGGGGAGCAAACGGG